rnacentral:rRNA from 1 species
UGGGGAAUCUUGCGCAAUGGACGAAAGUCUGACGCAGCCACGCCGCGUGAGUGAAGAAGGCCUUCGGGUUGUAAAGCUCUGUCACCUGGGACGAAAACCUUGAGGAAUAAUACCCUCAAGCUUGACGGUACCAGGGGAGGAAGCACCGGCUAACUUCGUGCCAGCAGCCGCGGUAAUACGAGGGGUGCAAGCGUUGCUCGGAAUUAUUGGGCGUAAAGGGUAGGUAGGUGGUCUCGUUUGUCUGGGGUGAAAGCCUUGAGCUUAACUCAAGAAGUGCCUUGGAAACGGCGAGACUAGAGUCCUGGAGAGGGUUGUAGAAUUCCCGGUGUAGCGGUGAAAUGCGUAGAGAUCGGGAGGAAUACCAGCAGCGAAAGCGACAACCUGGACAGGUACUGACACU